rfam:Eikenella corrodens ATCC 23834 Scfld7 genomic scaffold, whole genome shotgun sequence.
AUAACCCUGCGGUGUUUGUGAAGGCACACUAUUCCUUUGAACCAAUAAUUUCGCUUCAGGCUGCAGAUUGAGUGGUGGGCGUGCGCGUUCCUCGUGGACGUACCCGAAACUGCCGGAAGUGGCCAACCUUGAUUCAAGGUUCAAGCGAAUCGAGCCAAAGCGGCAUUCGCGGGGUUACC